rnacentral:rRNA from 1 species
AUUGAACGCUGGCGGCAGGCCUAACACAUGCAAGUAGAGCGGAGCGGCGGACGGGUGAGUAAUGCCUAGGAAUCUGCCUGGUAGUGGGGGAUAACGUCCGGAAACGGGCGCUAAUACCGCAUACUAUCAGAUGAGCCUAGGUCGGAUUAGCUAGUUGGUGGGGUAAAGGCCUACCAAGGCGGCGACCCGUAACUGGUCUGAGAGGAUGAUCAUUAACACUGGAACUGGGACACUGUCAAGACUCCUACGUGAGGCAGCAGUGGUGAAUAUUGGACAAGGGGCGAAAGCCUGAUCCAGCCAUGCCGCGUGUGUGAAGAAGGUCUUCGGAUUGUAAAGCACUUUAAGUUGGGAGGCGUUACCAACAGAAUAAGCACCGGCUAACUUCGUGCCAGCCGCCGCGGUAAUAC